UACACUAUAACAAGGACACCUCAAAAUAAAGCGUAACACUUCUUUCUAACUAAAUAUUAGGUAUCUCAUGUCACAAUAUUUCAGUAUUGCUGUGCUCAGUUUUCACGUUCUCUCCCUUCUCUGUUUGAUCAAAAGCACGUUUGGAUUACAUGCAAAGGGAGAAAUUAACUUUCACUCCAGUAAGAGGUAUUUUUAUAGCCGCUACUGAACUAAAGUCCCGGUCGCCCUAGACAGACAUCCAUGUGUCUGUUACAUCAGUUAAAUCCCUCGAGUCCCUCUCUGUUCACUCAUCCCACUCAGUCCAUGUUGCUCUGUGCAAGGCCAAAUACUGCAGAAGUAAAAAAGUUUUUCUUUUAUUCGUUCUGGCAUUAAUGACCUUAUUUGACAGGUAAACCGUGUCUGAUAAACUCGUCCCUCUUAUCAUGGCCCGCGUGUGCCUUUAAAAUCAGUUUAAGUGUAAAGCAGAAGUUCUUAUCCGCCGUGAUAGGCUUGUCCUGUUUUUCCCCUCAGUGGGAGAAACCCUGGGGUCAGAGUUAACCCAGGGGCAUGAUGGGUAGAGGAAGGGGAGCCGCGCCGGUUUCCAGACAUUUCUAGAAUGCCUCGGCGUCUGCGUCCGGGACACGUCUCCGCCUCCUUCGGGAUUUCUGCGGAUUGCAUUACGCCUGUCCUCUUCACAAACACGUUAGCUGUUGCAUUAGGUUUGUUGUUCUGAAGCGAUACAUUAGUGCGUGUUUCUGCCAGACGCUUAGAAGUGAGACAGAAGGGAAAAUUCAAUAUUUACUCUUGAGUUCCCGGCAGCCCCCUCCAGAUGGACACCGGAUGGAAAGCCUUCAGUCACGAUAUAAUGAACUUUGAACUUCUUUUUUUAUUUGUUUUUAUCUAUAAAGAAACAUGGUUUACUUGUAUAUGAUUUUGAAACUAUUUUAAAUGAAAGCUAUUUUAUAUUCUGA